rnacentral:rRNA from 1 species
UAAAUGCAAGUCGAACGAUGAUGCCCAGCUUGCUGGGCGGAUUAGUGGCGAACGGGUGAGUAAUACGUGAGUAACCUGCCCUUGACUCUGGGAUAAGCCUGGGAAACUGGGUCUAAUACUGGAUACUACCUCUUACCGCAUGGUGGGUGGUGGAAAGGGUUUUACUGGUUUUGGAUGGGCUCACGGCCUAUCAGCUUGUUGGUGGGGUAAUGGCUCACCAAGGCGACGACGGGUAGCCGGCCUGAGAGGGUGACCGGCCACACUGGGACUGAGACACGGCCCAGACUCCUACGGGAGGCAGCAGUGGGGAAUAUUGCACAAUGGGCGGAAGCCUGAUGCAGCGACGCCGCGUGAGGGAUGACGGCCUUCGGGUUGUAAACCUCUUUCAGUAGGGAAGAAGCGAGAGUGACGGUACCUGCAGAAGAAGCGCCGGCUAACUACGUGCCAGCAGCCGCGGUAAUACGUAGGGCGCAAGCGUUGUCCGGAAUUAUUGGGCGUAAAGAGCUCGUAGGCGGUUUGUCGCGUCUGCUGUGAAAGCCCGGGGCUCAACCCCGGGUCUGCAGUGGGUACGGGCAGACUAGAGUGCAGUAGGGGAGACUGGAAUUCCUGGUGUAGCGGUGAAAUGCGCAGAUAUCAGGAGGAACACCGAUGGCGAAGGCAGGUCUCUGGGCUGUUACUGACGCUGAGGAGCGAAAGCAUGGGGAGCGAACAGGAUUAGAUACCCUGGUAGUCCAUGCCGUAAACGUUGGGCACUAGGUGUGGGGGACAUUCCACGUUUUCCGCGCCGUAGCUAACGCAUUAAGUGCCCCGCCUGGGGAGUACGGCCGCAAGGCUAAAACUCAAAGGAAUUGACGGGGGCCCGCACAAGCGGCGGAGCAUGCGGAUUAAUUCGAUGCAACGCGAAGAACCUUACCAAGGCUUGACAUUCACCGGACCGCCCCAGAGAUGGGGUUUCCCUUCGGGGCUGGUGGACAGGUGGUGCAUGGUUGUCGUCAGCUCGUGUCGUGAGAUGUUGGGUUAAGUCCCGCAACGAGCGCAACCCUCGUUCUAUGUUGCCAGCACGUGAUGGUGGGGACUCAUAGGAGACUGCCGGGGUCAACUCGGAGGAAGGUGGGGAUGACGUCAAAUCAUCAUGCCCCUUAUGUCUUGGGCUUCACGCAUGCUACAAUGGCCGGUACAAAGGGUUGCGAUACUGUGAGGUGGAGCUAAUCCCAAAAAGCCGGUCUCAGUUCGGAUUGAGGUCUGCAACUCGACCUCAUGAAGUCGGAGUCGCUAGUAAUCGCAGAUCAGCAACGCUGCGGUGAAUACGUUCCCGGGCCUUGUACACACCGCCCGUCAAGUCACGAAAGUUGGUAACACCCGAAGCCGGUG